UGCACAGUACUGCAACGGUUCAGCACGCGCUCCCGGAAAGAGUGAGAUCUGGGUUGGAAUCCCGGCUGAUGCAA